CGAGCGCACCUUCGGGUGAGCGGCGGACGGGUUAGUAACGCUGUGGGAACGUGCCCUUCUCUAAGGAGUAGCCUCGGGAAACUGAGAGUAAUACCUUAUACGCCCUUCGGGGGAAAGAUUUAUCGGAGAAGGAUCGGCCCGCGUUAGAUUAGAUAGUUGGUGGGGUAACGGCCUACCAAGUCGACGAUCUAUAGCUGGUUUUAGAGGAUGAUCAGCAACACUGGGACUGAGACACGGCCCAGACUCCUACGGGAGGCAGCAGUGGGGAAUCUUAGACAAUGGGCGCAAGCCUGAUCUAGCCAUGCCGCGUGAGUGAUGAAGGCCUUAGGGUCGUAAAGCUCUUUCGCCAGGGAUGAUAAUGACAGUACCUGGUAAAGAAACCCCGGCUAACUCCGUGCCAGCAGCCGCGGUAAUACGGAGGGGGUUAGCGUUGUUCGGAAUUACUGGGCGUAAAGCGCACGUAGGCGGACUAUUAAGUCAGAGGUGAAAUCCCGGGGCUCA
rnacentral:rRNA from 1 species